rnacentral:rRNA from 1 species
GAUGAACGCUGGCGGCGUGCCUAAUACAUGCAAGUCGAGCGAACGGACGAGAAGCUUGCUUUUCUGAUGUUAGCGGCGGACGGGUGAGUAACACGUGGAUAACCUACCUAUAAGACUGGGAUAACUUCGGGAAACCGGAGCUAAUACCGGAUAAUAUUUUGAACCGCAUGGUUCAAAAGUGAAAGACGGUCUUGCUGUCACUUAUAGAUGGAUCCGCGCUGCAUUAGCUAGUUGGUAAGGUAACGGCUUACCAAGGCAACGAUGCAUGGCCAACCUGAGAGGGUGAUCGGCCACACUGGAACUGAGACACGGUCCAGACUCCUACGGGAGGCAGCAGUAGGGAAUCUUCCGCAAUGGGCGAAAGCCUGACGGAGCAACGCCGCGUGAGUGAUGAAGGUCUUCGGAUCGUAAAACUCUGUUAUUAGGGAAGAACAUAUGUGUAAGUAACUGUGCACAUCUUGACGGUACCUAAUCAGAAAGCCACGGCUAACUACGUG